rnacentral:rRNA from 1 species
GAGUUUGAUCCUGGCUCAGGACGAACGCUGGCGGCGUGCCUAAUACAUGCAAGUUGAACGAUGAUUUCUGGUACUUGUAUCAGAAUGAAGAGUAGCGAACGGGUGAGUAACGCGUGGGUAACCUACCUCUUAGCGGGGGACAACUAUUGGAAACGAUAGCUAAUACCGCAUAACAAUUCUAAACACAUGUUUAACAUUUGAAAGUACCAAUUGGUACACUAGGAGAUGGACCCGCGUUGUAUUAGCUAGUUGGUAGUGUAAUGGACUACCAAGGCGAUGAUACAUAGCCGACCUGAGAGGGCGAUCGGCCACAUUGGGACUGAGACACGGCCCAAACUCCUACGGGAGGCAGCAGUAGGGAAUCUUCGGCAAUGGACGAAAGUCUGACCGAGCAACGCCGCGUGAGUGAAGAAGGUUUUCGGAUCGUAAAACUCUGUUGUUAGAGAAGAACGUUGUGUAGAGUGGAAAAUUACACAAGUGACGGUAUCUAACCAGAAAGGGACGGCUAACUACGUGCCAGCAGCCGCGGUAAUACGUAGGUCCCGAGCGUUGUCCGGAUUUAUUGGGCGUAAAGCGAGCGCAGGUGGCUUAAUAAGUCUGAUGUAAAAGGCAGUGGCUCAACCAUUGUGUGCAUUGGAAACUGUUAGACUUGAGUGCAGUAGAGGAGAGUGGAAUUCCAUGUGUAGCGGUGAAAUGCGUAGAUAUAUGGAGGAACACCGGUGGCGAAAGCGGCUCUCUGGACAGUAACUGACACUGAGGCUCGAAAGCGUGGGUAGCAAACAGGAUUAGAUACCCCUGGUAGUCCACGCCGUAAACGAUGAGUGCUAGUUGUUUG